UAGUGGCGAACGGGUGAGUAACACGUGAGUAACCUGCCCUUAACUCUGGGAUAAGCCUGGGAAACUGGGUCUAAUACCGGAUAUGACCUUCCAUCGCAUGGUGGUUGGUGGAAAGCUUUUUGUGGUUUUGGAUGGACUCGCGGCCUAUCAGCUUGUUGGUGAGGUAAUGGCUUACCAAGGCGACGACGGGUAGCCGGCCUGAGAGGGUGACCGGCCACACUGGGACUGAGACACGGCCCAGACUCCUACGGGAGGCAGCAGUGGGGAAUAUUGCACAAUGGGCGCAAGCCUGAUGCAGCGACGCCGCGUGAGGGAUGACGGCCUUCGGGUUGUAAACCUCUUUCAGUAGGGAAGAAGCGAAAGUGACGGUACCUGCAGAAGAAGCGCCGGCUAACUACGUGCCAGCAGCCGCGGUAAUACGUAGGGCGCAAGCGUUAUCCGGAAUUAUUGGGCGUAAAGAGCUCGUAGGCGGUUUGUCGCGUCUGCCGUGAAAGUCCGGGGCUCAACUCCGGAUCUGCGGUGGGUACGGGCAGACUAGAGUGAUGUAGGGGAGACUGGAAUUCCUGGUGUAGCGGUGAAAUGCGCAGAUAUCAGGAGGAACACCGAUGGCGAAGGCAGGUCUCUGGGCAUUAACUGACGCUGAGGAGCGAAAGCAUGGGGAGCGAACAGGAUUAGAUACCCUGGUAGUCCAUGCCGUAAACGUUGGGCACUAGGUGUGGGGGACAUUCCACGUUUUCCGCGCCGUAGCUAACGCAUUAAGUGCCCCGCCUGGGGAGUACGGCCGCAAGGCUAAAACUCAAAGGAAUUGACGGGGGCCCGCACAAGCGGCGGAGCAUGCGGAUUAAUUCGAUGCAACGCGAAGAACCUUACCAAGGCUUGACAUGAACCGGUAACGCCUGGAGACAGGUGCCCCGCUUGCGGUCGGUUUACAGGUGGUGCAUGGUUGUCGUCAGCUCGUGUCGUGAGAUGUUGGGUUAAGUCCCGCAACGAGCGCAACCCUCGUUCUAUGUUGCCAGCACGUGAUGGUGGGGACUCAUAGGAGACUGCCGGGGUCAACUCGGAGGAAGGUGGGGACGACGUCAAAUCAUCAUGCCCCUUAUGUCUUGGGCUUCACGCAUGCUACAAUGGCCGGUACAAAGGGUUGCGAUACUGUGAGGUGGAGCUAAUCCCAAAAAGCCGGUCUCAGUUCGGAUUGGGGUCUGCAACUCGACCCCAUGAAGUCGGAGUCGCUAGUAAUCGCAGAUCAGC
rnacentral:rRNA from 1 species